GUUUUUUUUACAGAGUAGAACUUUCCUAGAGUAGAUCCAGUGGCGGUUCUACACGGGCCCCCCCUGAGCUGCCCGGCCACAUCCGGCUGUACCCAACCUACCCAGCCCGUGUUCCACUUCCACCCACAACCAGCACCCCUUCUAGCCUGCUAGUCAGCUGGAGCAGGACUGAGUCCGGACUACUAGUCUAGCAGACAGCAGACACAGCUUGCUUCCUCAUCUAUGCGUGCUGUGAGACUAUCGGACGUCACGUCAGCGAGUAAACCCGCACUUUUCCCCCUACUUGGAUGUGAUCGGCGAAGACACAUCCUAUCAUCACAGGCAGCGUCCACUUGCAUAAACCACACAAGGAAGGAGGACGUACUUCACUCACGCUACGGAUCCGUCUGGCACUACUUCCGACUCAAGAGAGCAACCGGCUUUGCUUCAAACAACCUCUGACUCACCCCAGGAACGUAAGCGCCCUUUACUGUUUUGUUUGUGCAGAUGAAA